CCCCUAACAUGAGACACUUUAUUAUC
rnacentral:rasiRNA from 1 species